UACGAAGGGGGCUAGCGUUGUUCGGAAUUACUGGGCGUAAAGGGCGCGUAGGCGGCUUCGAUAGUCGGGUGUGAAAUGCCUGGGCUCAACCCAGGAAUUGCACUCGAAACUCCGAGGCUUGAGUGUGGGAGAGGUUGGUGGAAUUCCCAGUGUAGAGGUGAAAUUCGUAGAUAUUGGGAAGAACACCGGUGGCGAAGGCGGCCAACUGGACCACAACUGACGCUGAGGCGCGAAAGCGUGGGGAGCAAACAGG
rnacentral:rRNA from 1 species